rnacentral:rRNA from 1 species
AAUAUUUUACAAUGGGCGAAAGCCUGAUCCAGCCAUGCCGCGUGUGUGAAGAAGGUCUUCGUAUUUUAAAGCACUUUAUGUUGGGAGGAUGGGCUGUAAGUUAAUACCUUUCUGUUUUGACGUUACCGACAUAAUACGCACCGGCUACCUUCGUGCCAGCAUCCUCGGUAAUACUAAGGGUGCAAGCGUUAAUCGGAAUUACUGGGCGUAAAGCGCGCGUAGGUGGUUUGUUAAGUUGGAAGUGAAAGCCCCGGGCUCAACCUGGGAACUGCCUUCAAAACUGGCAAGCUAGAGUAUGGCAGAGGGUGGUGGAAUUUCCUGCGUAGCGGUGAAAUGCGUAGAUAUAGGAAGGAACACCAGUGGCGAAGGCGACCACCUGGGCUAAUACUGACACUGAGGUGCGAAAGCGUGGGGAGCAAAC